rnacentral:lncRNA from 1 species
AGACAUACAAGGGAUCAUUCAUGCAAAAUUUGGGGUCAAUUGGAUGUAGGGAAGCAUGUGAACAAAUUAGGGAAAAUGCAUGAUCAUGGUAUAGCAACAAUUGUAACACACACUUCAAAAAUCAUAACUCCAAUCCACAAUGAUAAUGCACAAGUCUAUAUGGAAACAAAGGUCAAAGUGUCUAUUUUCACCACAAAAAGUUUCAAAGGCAAUAGAUAUGUCAUGAGCAUUUCACAAUUGAAAUGGUAAGAUGUACCAAUUAUGCACACAUGUUG